UACGUAGGGUCCGAGCGUUGUCCGGAAUUAUUGGGCGUAAAGAGCUCGUAGGUGGUGUGUCGCGUCGGAUGUGAAAUCUCGGGGCUUAACUCCGAGCCUGCAUUCGGUACGGGCAUGCUGGAGUUCGGUAGGGGAGACUGGAAUUCCUGGUGUAGCGGUGAAAUGCGCAGAUAUCAGGAGGAACACCGGUGGCGAAGGCGGGUCUCUGGGCCGAUACUGACACUGAGGAGCGAAAGCGUGGGGAGUGAACAGG
rnacentral:rRNA from 1 species